rnacentral:rRNA from 1 species
UACAGAGACUGCAAGCGUUAUUCGGAUUCACUGGGCGUAAAGGGUGCGCAGGCGGUUGGGUGUGUCAGAUGUGAAAUCCCGAGGCUUAACCUCGGAACUGCGUCUGAAACUACUCGACUAGAGUAUUGGAGAGGGUAACGGAAUUCACGGUGUAGCAGUGAAAUGCGUAGAUAUCGUGAGGAACGCCAGAGGCGAAGGCGGUUACCUGGACAAUUACUGACGCUCAGGCACGAAAGCAUGGGGAGCAAAAGGG